ACAUAACAAACAUGGCUACCAUUUGGCCAAUUUGAAGGUUGAUUUUGGAAGGUCAAUGUUUAAUUCAUGAGUAAUGACGUCAAAAUACGCAUAAUGCACUUGUAUGAUUGGAUAAAACGCUAAUGUUUUAUUCAUGUACUCAUGCAUUAAACAUUUUUUUCCUUCCCACAAUUCCCUACGAUAUCUGUGCGAAGUGUCGUUCUUUUUUACUCUGCGAAAUUCAACAUUUGAAAUACAAUAGCAAGACUAAUUAUCUGUUUAUAGAAUUAGUAUCCGGAAUCAUGAUUUCUGAGUGAAAUUCAGUUGAGCAGAAAAUUAUGAGGGAACAUCUACAUCAAAGUAAUGGCAUUCCAUACAAAUAAAAAUCCAAUGGGAUCAAGUUCUAAGCAGUCCCAGCCCAGUCAGAAGUACAAAGUCAACUACCAUUUACACAUCACCAAGAGUUACAAUCUGAUGAGGAACAGGAUAUUUGAACUGAAAACUUGUAAGGUUCCGCAGGCAGUUUGAGUAUCACCAGGGCAGAUUAUAAGAACAAAUAUGGAGGCCAAGUUCAUAAGAAGUAGCUACUUCAUCACAAUUACACAUUUUAAAAAUUGAAUGAAUUUGAAUAAACAUGUCAAUACAUAUUGAAUGUUGCUUGCACAACACAUCUGUAGAAAAAUUUUUGGAGUAUUGAUAUUUAGGUCCAUAGGUUUCACACAAGAUUGAAAUAUUUUCCCAAAGGGCACACCUACCCACCCUUUAUUAAUGUUCUAAUCAUCUACAUGUAGUAGUAGUGAAAUAACUGUUUAUGAUAUAAGUAGUUUGAAAGGGAUAAGUUGUAUUCUGGUAAUAUAAUCAAUUCAGAAUGGGUCUUUACUGAGUUCUGGGCUAUGUACAUGCCUACAGACAUACAUAAGACAAUAAGAAAUAAUGGAUUUUCAUUGAAAAUGUGCAUACUAAAA